AGUCCAUGAUGUGGGACUUUCCUCAAUAGUUCCUUGUAAUGCUCCCAUGACUCAUACAAGGACUCCCCGUCCUGUUGAAAGAAGGUGGUGAUAUCAUUCCUCAUCUU
rnacentral:snoRNA from 1 species